rnacentral:rRNA from 1 species
UACGGAGGGUGCGAGCGUUGUCCGGAAUCACUGGGCGUAAAGGGCGCGUAGGCGGCUCGAUAAGGCUGUGGUGAAAGCCUGGGGCUCAACCCCGGGUCGGCCGUGCGAACUGCGUGCUGGAGCACUGUAGAGGCAGGCGGAAUUCCGGGUGUAGCGGUGGAAUGCGUAGAGAUCCGGAAGAACACCGGUGGCGAAGGCGGCCUGCUGGGCAGUUGCUGACACUGAGGCGCGACAGCGUGGGGAGCAAACAGG